AUGUUCUAAAAACCUAAAUUCCCACAUUCGUGUCUCUAUUUUUCCAUUUUUCUGCCGUCAUCUACUAAAACCCUAAUGGAUCCUUCACUGCUACUUGAACCACUCCAUACAAACUGUAGAGAGUGAAAGUAACAAUUUGUAGUGAGAGAAAUUCCAGAUAUCGAACUCCGGCGAAAAUCCGAAUCUCCUGCGAACCGGAUCUGAGUUAUGGUGAAAAUCCGAAUCUCCAGGUGGUGGUUUAACGCCACAACGAAAGGUCGACGGCUAGGGUUCCAGCAGCACAUAAAUCUGACCAGUUGUGGUUUCAGCCAGUAUCGUUAAAAAGCUUAAUACUGGAGCUCAUGAGUUGGUCAUGGAGGGAUAUAAUUGUAGAUGCAAGGAUGGAGUACGCAAAAUUUCUCCAAGAAAUGGAUAAAGAAGUUCAAAACUCACGAGAUAUAAAAGAGAACAACAAAAGAUCUUGAUGAAUUUAU